rnacentral:rRNA from 1 species
UAUGGCGACCGGCGCACGGGUGAGUAACACGUAUCCAACCUGCCGAUGACUCGGGAUAGCCUUUCGAAAGAAAGAUUAAUACCCGAUGGCAUAGUUCUUCCGCAUGGUAGAACUAUUAAAGAAUUUCGGUCAUCGAUGGGGAUGCGUUCCAUUAGCUUGUUGGCGGGGUAACGGCCCACCAAGGCAUCGAUGGAUAGGGGUUCUGAGAGGAAGGUCCCCCACAUUGGAACUGAGACACGGUCCAAACUCCUACGGGAGGCAGCAG